rnacentral:snRNA from 1 species
GUACUUACCUGGCAGGCGAGACACCAUGAUCAGGUGGUUUUCCCAGGGUGAGGCUCAUCCAUUGCACUGCGGAUGUGCUGACCCCUGCGGUUUCCCCAAAUGUGGGAAACUCGAGUGCAUAAUUUAUGGUAGUGGGGGACUGCGUUCAUGCUCCCCUG